rnacentral:rRNA from 1 species
GGUUAACCCCCCACAUUGGUACUGAGACACGGACCAUACUCCUACGGGAGGCAGCAGUGAGGAAUAUUGGUCAAUGGACGCAAGUCUGAACCAGCCAUGCCGCGUGCAGGAAGACGGCUCUAUGAGUUGUAAACUGCUUUUGUACGAGGAUAAACGCAGAUACGCGUAUCUGUCUGAAAGUAUCGUACGAAUAAGGAUCGGCUAACUCCGUGCCAGCAGCCGCGGUAAUACGGAGGAUUCAAGCGUUAUACGGAUUUAUUGGGUUUAAAGGGUGCGUAGGCGGUCGGAUAAGUUAGAGGUGAAAUCCCGGGGCUCAACUUCGGAAUUGCCUCUGAUACUGUUCGGCUAGAGAGUAGUUGCGGUAGGCGGAAUGUAUGGUGUAGCGGUGAAAUGCUUAGAGAUCAUACAGAACACCGAUUGCGAAGGCAGCUUACCAAGCUACUUCUGACGUUGAGGCACGAAAGCGUGGGGAGCAAACAGGAUUAGAUACCCUGGUAGUCCACGCAGUAAACGAUGAUAACUCGUUGUCGGCGAUACAGUGUCGGUGACUAAGCGAAAGCGAUAAGUUAUCCACCUGGGGAGUACGUUCGCAAGAAUGAAACUCAAAGGAAUUGACGGGGGCCCGCACAAGCGGAGGAACAUGUGGUUUAAUUCGAUGAUACGCGAGGAACCUUACCCGGGCUUGAAAGUUAGUGACGGAUCUUGAAAGAGGUCUUCCCUUCGGGGCACGAAACUAGGUGCUGCAUGGUUGUCGUCAGCUCGUGCCGUGAGGUGUCGGGUUAAGUCCCAUAACGAGCGCAACCCCUACCGUUAGUUGCCAGCAGGUCAAGCUGGGCACUCUGACGGGACUGCCGGUGUAAGCCGAGAGGAAGGUGGGGAUGACGUCAAAUCAGCACGGCCCUUACGUCCGGGGCUACACACGUGUUACAAUGGCAGGUACAGAGGGCAGCUACCCAGCGAUGGGAUGCGAAUCUCGAAAGCCUGUCUCAGUUCGGAUUGGAGGCUGAAACCCGCCUCCAUGAAGUUGGAUUCGCUAGUAAUCGCGCAUCAGCCAUGGCGCGGUGAAUACGUUCCCGGGCCUUGCACACACCGCCCGUCAAG